CUUUUUUUGCACGUUUUCUCGCCUCAUGUAACUCCUCAGACAUUUUUUUUCUUUUCUUCUCAUUCUCGACUUCGCUCGCAGCCAAUCUGUAAUAGUUGUCCAAGCUAACACCGGAUUUCUUCUCGAAUUUUUCCUUCCUUUUUGUCAUAUCUGCAAAUAUCUCACCCACAAGCAUCUGCUUACAGUUCGACAAAUAAGCAAAGGUAG
rnacentral:lncRNA from 1 species